UACGAAGGGGGCUAGCGUUGCUCGGAAUCACUGGGCGUAAAGGGUGCGUAGGCGGGUCUUUAAGUCAGGGGUGAAAUCCUGGAGCUCAACGUCCAGAACUGCCUUUGAUACUGAGGAUCUUGAGUUCGGGAGAGGUGAGUGGAACUGCGAGUGUAGAGGUGAAAUUCGUAGAUAUCGGAAGAACACCAGUGGCGAAGGCGGCUCACUGGACCGGUAUUGACGCUGAGGUGGCGAAAGCGUGGGGAGCAAACAGG
rnacentral:rRNA from 1 species